AAAAAAAUUUUUUAUGGUUUAGAAAAUUUAUUAUGAAUUUAUUUUACAUAUAAAUUUUAGUGUUGAUUUUUAAUUAUUUUAAUAAUAAUUAGAUAAUUGAAUAGUAAUUAAUAUUAAAAAUUUAAGAAAUUAAGAUUUAGUAAUAUUUGAAUUAUUAACAAAUUUUGUGCCAGCAGUUGCGGUUAUACAAAAAAUAAAUUAAAUUUUAUUAAUAAAUUAAUAAAUAAUAAGAAAUUAUUUAUAAAUUAAAUAUUAAAUUAUUAAGUGAAAUUUUAAUUUAAUUAAAAUUAUAAAUAAAAUUAUGAUUUAAUAAAUUUUGAAAUAAACUAGGAUUAGAUACCCUAUUAUUAAAAAAUUAAAUUUAAAUAUUAAAAUAGUAAAUAAUUUUAUUGAAACUUAAAUAAUUUGGCGGUAUUUUAGUUCAUUUAGAGGAAUCUGUCUAAUAAUUGAUAAUCCACGAAUAAAUUUACUUAAUUUAUUUAUUUUGUAUAUCGUUGUUAAAAAAAUAUUUUUUAAUAAUAAAUAAUAUUUAAUAAUUUUUAAUAAAAAUUAAAUCAGAUCAAGAUGCAGAUAAUAAUUAAGAAUAUGAUGGAUUACAAUAAAUUUAUUUAAAUGGAAAUUAGUUUGUAAGAAUUAAUUGAAGGUGGAUUUAAAUGUAAUUUUAUUUAAUUUAUUAAAAUGAAUAUAAAUUAAAAUAUGUACAUAUUGCCCGUCGCUUUCAUAAAUAAAUUGAAAUAAGUCGUAACAAAGUAGAGGUACUGGAAAGUGUUUCUAGAAAGAU
rnacentral:ncRNA from 1 species